UCGUCAGCUCGUGCCGUGAGGUGUCGGCUUAAGUGCCAUAACGAGCGCAACCCCUCUCUCCGGUUGCCAUCAGGCAAUGCUGGGCACUCCGGAGACACUGCCGCCGCAAGGUGUGAGGAAGGUGGGGAUGACGUCAAAUCAGCACGGCCCUUACGUCCGGGGCUACACACGUGUUACAAUGGCCGGUACAGAGCGUCGGAGGCCCGCAAGGUCCUUCUAAUCGUGAAAUCCGGUCCCAGUUCGGACUGGGGUCUGCAACCCGACCCCACGAAGCUGGAUUCGCUAGUAAUCGCGCAUCAGCCAUGGCGCGGUGAAUACGUUCCCGGGCCUUGUACACACCGCCCGUCAAGCCAUGAAAGCCGGGGGUGCCUGAAGUCCGUGACCGCAAGGAUCGGCCUAGGGCAAAACCGGUGAUUGGGGCAAAGUCGUAACAAGGUAGCCGUA
rnacentral:rRNA from 1 species